rnacentral:rRNA from 1 species
CCUACGGGUGGCAGCAGUGAGGAAUAUUGGUCAAUGGGCGCGAGCCUGAACCAGCCAAGUCGCGUGAAGGAUGACUGCCCUACGGGUUGUAAACUUCUUUUAUAAAGGAAUAAAGUGUGGCACGUGUGCCUUUUUGUAUGUACCUUAUGAAUAAGCAUCGGCUAACUCCGUGCCAGCAGCCGCGGUAAUACGGAGGAUCCGAGCGUUAUCCGGAUUUAUUGGGUUUAAAGGGGGCGUAGACGGGUUGUUAAGUCAAUUGUGAAAGUUUGGGGCUCAACCGUAAAAUUGCAAUUGAUACUGGAAGACUUGAGUUCAGUUGAGGUAGGCGGAAUACGUGGUGUAGCGGUGAAAUGCUUAGAUAUCACGUAGAACUCCGAUAGCGAAGGCAGCUUACUAGACUGCCACUGACGUUGAUGCACGAGAGUGUGGGUAUCGAACAGGAUUAGAUACCCUAGUAGUC